AAGGCUCAUUACAUCAGUUGUGGUUCCUUGGACUGUACCCAGUUACUUGGAUAACUGCGGAAAAUCUGGAGCUAAUACAUGCCGACAGAGUCCCGACCAGAGAUGGGAGGGACGCUUUUAUUAGAUCAAAACCAAAAAUCCCCCUCGGGGGAAACGGUUUAAGGUGACUCUGAAUAACUUUGUGCCGAUCGCACGGCCCUCGCGCCGGCGACGCGUCUUUCAAAUGUCUGCCUUAUCAACUUUCGAUGGUAGGCUCUGCGCCUACCAUGGUUGUAACGGGUGACGGGGAAUCAGGGUUCGAUUCCGGAGAGGGAGCCUGAGAAACGGCUACCACAUCCAAGGAAGGCAGCAGGCGCGCAAAUUACCCACUCCCGGCUCGGGGAGGUAGUGACGAAAGAUAACGAUGCAGGACUCUUUUGAGGCCCUGUAAUCGGAAUGACUACAUUUUAAAUCUCUUAAGGAGUAUCAAUUGGAGGGCAAGUCUGGUGCCAGCAGCCGCGGUAAUUCCAGCUCCAAUAGCGUAUAUUAAAGCUGUUGCGGUUAAAAAGCUCGUAGUUGGAUCUGUGCCCCGCACCGCCGGUCCCCGCUCUCGCGGAGCGACUGGCAGGUCUUUGCGGGGCGUCCUGCCGGUGGGAGGUCUUGCCGGCGGCGGUCUCAAUUUUUCGCUCCGGGUGUACGCUCGGUCCGGGGUGUUUACGUCUGCUCGCGUUCAGUCGGCCGGGCGACCGGUACGGCGGCGGGCCGUCCCCCGUUCUCGAAGCCCGGGCGGGCCGCCGAUGCGCGCGCUCCCGGUUAUCCGAUCCUGCCGAAGGUGCUCUUCACCGAGUGUCGAGGCGGGCCGGCAUGUUUACUUUGAACAAAUUAGAGUGCUUAAAGCAGGCUGGUGACGCCUGAAUGCUGUGUGCAUGGAAUAAUGGAAUAGGACCUCGGUUCUAUUUUCUUUUGGUUUUCUGAACCAGAGGUAAUGAUUAACGGAGACAGGCGGGGGCAUUCGUAUUGCGACGUUAGAGGUGAAAUUCUUGGAUCGUCGCAAGACGAACAGAAGCGAAAGCAUUUGCCAAGGAUGUUCUCGUUGAUCAAGAACGAAAGUCAGAGGUUCGAAGGCGAUCAGAUACCGCCCUAAUUCUGACCGUAAACGCUGCCAUCUGGUUAUUCGCCCACGUUACAACUUUUAUGACUGGGCGAGCAACCCUCGGGAAACCAAAGAUUUUGGGUUCCGGGGGAAGUAUGGUUGCAAAGCUGAAACUUAAAGGAAUUGACGGAAGGGCACCACCAGGAGUGGAGCCUGCGGCUUAAUUUGACUCAACACGGGAAACCUCACCAGGCCCGGACACUGGAAGGAUUGACAGAUUGAUAGCUCUUUCUUGAUUCAGUGGGUGGUGGUGCAUGGCCGUUCUUAGUUGGUGGAGCGAUUUGUCUGGUUAAUUCCGAUAACGAACGAGACUCUGGCCUGCUAACUAGUCGAUGAUUUUUCAAUCCGGCAUCCUCUUACGGCUGCCGGCGAAAACAACUCUUCUUAGAGGGACAGGCGGCUCCUAGCCGCACGAGAUUGAGCAAUAACAGGUCUGUGAUGCCCUUAGAUGUUCUGGGCCGCACGCGCGCUACAAUGAAGGUAUCAACGUGUGUUCCUUGGCCGAGAGGCCCGGGUAACCCGCUGAACCACCUUCGUGCUUGGGACUGGGGCUUGAAAUUGUUCCCCAUGAACGAGGAAUUCCCAGUAAAGGCGUGUCACUAGCACGCCUUGAUUACGUCCCUGCCCUUUGUACACACCGCCCGUCGCUACUACCGAUUGAAUGAAUUAGUGAGGUCUUCGGACCAGCGCGCGGUUCUCGUCCCUCGGGACCCCCGUCGCUGCAGGGAAGAUGAUCGAACUUGUUCAUUUAGAGGAAGUAAAAGUCGUAACAAGGUUUCCGUAGGUGAACCU
rnacentral:rRNA from 1 species